GGAGAGGUGGCCGAGCGGCUGAAGGCGCUCCCCUGCUAAGGGAGUAUAGGCUUUAACUCCUAUCGAGGGUUCGAAUCCCUCCCUCUCCGCCA
rnacentral:tRNA from 1 species